UGCUAUAACAUGGUAACAGCAGAUUGACCAUGUUUCCAUUUUUCCUUUUUCAGGGCUGCACUCAAAGAGGACAGACUUGCUUUGGUGCAGAAUGGUUCUAGUUCUCCUUGUUUAGACCUGAGUCGCCUGGACAAAGCCCUGGCCACAGUCGUCAGGGAGCGUGGCACGGAUCUGGUGAUCAUUGAAGGUAUGGGUCGGGCCAUCCACACUAACUACUAUGCCAUGCUCAGCUGCGAGAGCCUUAAACUAGCCGUCAUAAAGAACUCCUGGCUGGCCGAGCGUCUUGGAGGCAAGAUCUUCAGUGUAGUCUUCAAGUACGAGGUCCCUCCAAAAUCUUAAGAGCAACAUUAGAGAAACGGAGUUUUUUAGAGGUGAAAUGGCUAGCUCCAGAAAGAAAGAGCACUACUUGGUCCUCUUUGCUUCUUCUUGAUAUUGACGUAAUGAUUGUAUUUCAGGGUUUUCUUUUGCUUCAUUAAAAAAAAAAAAAAAAAAUCAAUUAUAAAGGGGUGGUCGUAUGUGCCUGCUCUGAAAUUGAAUGUGCACGGCUGCUGUAACCUCCCUCGUAACAAUUAGAUGACAGCUGUAGGGGCUUUUUCUUUUGAUGAGAUUGAAUUUUAUUGUUCUCAGACCAGAUUUGUGUUGCUGAAUGAUUCUCCAUUGGAUUCAGGAUGGAUUGCAAUGACAAAUAUAUCAUUUUAAGUUUUGAAUUACAAGUGACAAAUGUAACAUUUCAAGUUGUGAAUUAGCCCUAAUCCUGCUGGCUUUAACAAUGUAUUUAAAUGUAUAAGCCUGGUAAAAAAAUGGGUCUUUCUUUUGUAACAUCGAUAAAAAUCACAAAGAAUAUUGGCUUUUUAAUUUCAUUGCAGACUUAUUUAGAUGACGUAUUUUGUGUAUUUCCUAUUUUGACAAGCAAUCUGGUUUCAAAUGUAACUGUUAUGUUUGUAUUAUUUCACUCACUGUUUUUGUUGUUGCCUUACUGAAUCAUAUCUCAUCCAGCUGGCAUUGUCUUUUAAUGACUUGCUCUUCUGUUCCCAUGACAACAUUUUGGAGUGACAAUGAUUUUCUGUUAUUUUAAUACAUUAAUAGUGGUGACCCAACUAAAGUGAAUAACAAAAGCUUCCUGCACAAAAAAGCAUGCUUGGUUUUUGGCAAAACCGAGUAACUUUAUGGAUUCAGAUUUUUUCUUCCAUUGUCUUAUUUCGAUAGAUAAAAUGGUGUAACUAUUUUAACAAACUUAGAUAUAGACAAAAGACCUUUUCUGAGUUGUGUAUCAUUAACACUAGGUGUCAGUUUUUAGUCCUAUACAAAUAGCUUUCUUGAUUAAGGCAAAUGCUAAUGUGGUAGACUUUCAAGAUUAUUUCUCCCUCUCUUUUUUUAUUUUUCUUUAAUUUAUCAGUCGUAGGAGAAAAUGACAUGGAACAACAGAUCCUGCUUAAGAUAUUGCAUCAUUAUAUUUUACUGCAACUAUUCUCAUAUUUGAUGCAGCUCUCGCUUUCUACCAUCUGUGGAAAUCUUUGUAAUAUAAAAUCCAUUUCAGGGUUGUACAGCACAGCAUUGCCUCACUAUCACAGCUCUUUCUGGAUGGGUGAGAGACAGAUCGAGUUUGUGUGUAUGUGAAAGAGAAAAAGUCAAUUUUAAGAUAAUCUAUACCACAAUCAUUCGUUUGUGGGAACUAAAUGUUAAAGCACAAUAUUUCAGGGAUAUGUCACAGAGUAAGAAUCGCAGCGAUUUUUUUUUUCUUUUCUUUUUUAUCAUUCUGAUUAAUUGGUUAAUUUUCUCAAUGUAUAUUUUAUCUUAUGUGUUACUGCAUUAUUUACGUGUGUGUGUGUGUGUGUGCCCCCAAAAACGAAAAUGUGUCAUAAAUUGCAUACAAAUUGACAAGCUAUAAUGUAUUUUAAGCACAGUAUUUACGCCAUCGUUCUGACUAAAGGUUUAGUACUGAUGGUCUAGACUCAGUCAAUCAGUCGGGUGGUAGCUUUCAAAAUAUGCUCAUCAUGGACAUUGUGAAAACAAGGAUCUCUCUCAGACUAAAUCUGUUUGUACAGUCCUCGUUUAUCAUCUGGCCAAAGGCUAACUUCCUUUAGUAAUGCAUACAUUUUGUGAAAUACUGUAAAAUCAAGUGUAAAUAUACCAUAAACUUGUACUUAAAAUGUACUGUUUAUUUGCCUUUAUCUUGAAGCAUUCUCGAGAUUUCAGAAAAUUAAUACUCACUUGACAAUCACAUGUAAUUCUAUGUCAAAUAUAUUUUACACUGUCUUCACUCAGUUUGGGUCUCUUUAAUCUCUGUAUUUGUAUUUGCAAAAAUAAAAUGUUACCCUCUUUAGUAUUGACCUGU